CCAGCAGAGCACACCUAGACUCUGGGGCUAGCACAGUAUACAGUACUGGUGAUCAGACCCGGGUCCUUGUGCUUGCCAGGCAAGCGCUUAGACCGCUAAGCUA